AUUUUCAAAUCUACCUUGGUCGAUCCGUCCCGCUACGUCGUAGUCCACCUCUGAGCCGAUCGGUUUGAAAAUAUUAUAUUAUUCCGCGAUUCGGGUUUCCCCUGUAACUGUCUGAAUGGGGCGGAAAUUUCCCGCGCGGUUCUUUCAUCCGGUUACUCGAUCGGACCGCGAAACGCAUCAACAAAAUUACGUUGACUUGCCACCGCUACCGUCGCUAGUCGGGAUAAUUGGUUUAACACUUAAUGCCGACUAAUUUGUAGUAGUCGCGCCCUCAUACCUACAACUGGCCGGUACACUCU